AGAGAGAGAGAGAGAGAGAAUUAAUGAUUGAAUUUGGGUUCUUCGUGAAGCUAGAAGAACAGAAGAUCCUUCAACAAAUGGAUGAUAAGGAAAAAAAGCCCGACUUUUGGGGAGCUUAAAACUUGAAAAAAUGGAGGAGCCGACGGAAAUAUAGGCUGUCUGAGGUGGACUUCUCGGGCGGAGGACAAAUGAAGUGACAAACUUUCAACU
rnacentral:misc_RNA from 1 species